rnacentral:rRNA from 1 species
CUAGUAAUCGCGCAUCAGCCAUGGCGCGGUGAAUACGUUCCCGGGCCUUGUACACACCGCCCGUCAAGCCAUGGAAGCCGGGGGCGCUUGAAGUGCGUUGCCGCAAGGCGCGCCCUAGAGCGAAACCGGUGACUGGGGCUAAGUCGUAACAAGGUAUC